CCUACGGGUAGCUGCAGUAGGGAAUCUUCCACAAUGGACGAAAGUCUGAUGGAGCAACGCCGCGUGAGUGAAGAAGGGUUUCGGCUCGUAAAGCUCUGUUGGUAGUGAAGAAAGAUAGAGGUAGUAACUGGCCUUUAUUUGACGGUCAUUACUUCGAAAUUCACGGCUAACUACGUGCCAGCAGCCGAGGUAAUACGUAGGUUGCAAGCGUUUUCCGGAUUUCUUGGGCGUACAGCGAGUGCAGUCGGUUCAAUAAGUCUGAUGUGAAAGCCUUCGGCUCAACCGGAGAAUUGCAUCAGAAACUGUUGAACUUGAGUGCAGAAGAGGAGAGUGGAACUCCAUGUGUAGCGGUGGAAUGCGUAGAUAUAUGGAAGAACACCAGUGGCGAAGGCGGCUCUCUGGUCUGCAACUGACGCUGAGGCUCGAAAGCAUGGGUAGCGAACAGGAUUAGAUACCCUUGUAGUC
rnacentral:rRNA from 1 species